CACAAUAUGACACAACAGCGACACUCGUUGUGCGACGUGUUGCUGAGGUUUUUUUCUUUUUACUUUCCCCUUUUUCUUCCCCUUCGCGUUUGCAAAAUGCAGUUUUCUUUCUGGUUGUCGUUUCUCCUCCGUGUGCGUCUGUGUCGUCUUGUUGUCUCGUGGAAUUUGGAGGAGAAUUCGUCCUUCCAGCUGCUCUCGAGACAUGAUUGAGUACAAUUAUGAAGGAACCCAACAACAACGCCACCAUUGACUCUGUUGACAGAAUCAUACGUGGCACCAAUUACCCCGGUCUGGGCCCGUCAGCUGGAGGAGAGCAGAGCCGGAGGAAGUCAAAAGGACGGCUGAGCGUCUCCUCUGUGGGGUCGGAGGCUGAUGCGCUGACGGGGACACACAUCUCUGAUCCGGAGAGUCACUGUGUGUGUGUGUGUGUGUGUGUGUCGCUGACAUUAAGCCGAUACGGAGGUCGACGUUACCACGUUAGCAUUGCCAUUUUUAGCUUUUAGCGUUGCCAUUCACAUAUACCUGUAACAUGUCAGACCGAACCCUACGAGAAAACAAGAGCAGAUUUGAAGUGUUGGAGAUUAUGGAAAUGUCUAAACUCAAACUGAUCAAAGUGCAAUGUUUGAAUUGGAUUCCGCCCUAACGUCCAUAAACACGAUGUUUUAUUACUGCUGCUGAGCUGAACUUUGGAGCGCCAUUACAGACCUCCCAUUGUCCACUACAGUGCUCCCAUCAAUUGUUUGCCAACAAAGCCAAUAAAAGAUUCAGUUUGCGGUUUCAGUCCAACCGCCUCCGUCAUUUCCCCUCAACGCCACGGCCUUUUGCCUGCGCUUGUGUGUGCGAGGCCUUAUCCGCGUCCUUCGCUCAGGCGGUUAAAAACAGCGACACAGCAAAACCAAACAAAAUGCUUUUGCUUUCCAGUGGAGGGUCUAUUUUUGAAGCGCAGCCACCAGAAGUGAAGAAAGGGUCUUGAUCCGCUGCCGGCGAUCAACAGAUGGCCGAUUAGCAUUUCCAAAUCUGCCGUCAAACUCUGUAAUGAAAUGGGGAAUGAUUGGAAUUCAGCAAGAGACUUUAUCAGCUCACACUCUCUCCCUCUCUCUCUCUUUCUGUUGCCUUUCCUCCUUUUGAUUAGCAAGUAAAACAUCCGUCUGAUGGCUCAUUGAUCGCCUGCUGGUUUUAAACAGAGCGUAUUUAUGGCUGCGUGCCCGUGGAAAGACGCACACGAGAGCAGUGCAAUUUACUUCUCCUUUCACGCCGCCACGUCCUCCUCUAUAACACUCUCUCCCUCUGUCCCUCUGUCCCUGUCUCCCCGUCUCCCUCUCUCACGCCUUCUGUCUCUCCAUCUCGCUCUUCCAUAUCCAUUUCCAAUCAGCUAAAUUCCCCUGGCACGGCGGAAUAAUCUGUCAUCAUUCACUAUAUCAAGUGCAUGUGGACUCACACACACACGCACACACACACACACACACACACACACAGGUCCUAUCCUGUAAUGUCAUUAUGGCACCCACUGAGUCAAAUUACACUGAAUCAAUAGGUCUUGUUUAUCUGUUGGGGGCCUCCUUGCUCUCAAUUACAGCCCAGGGGAACGUCUAUGGAGGGGAGCACGUGUGCGCAUGUGUGUGUGUGUGUGUGUGUGAGGUUUAAGAUGGCCUUGGCUGUAUCAGCGGCCGUUGUGCGUUCUGCGGCCUCCGCAUCGGGACGAGGGCUUCGGCGCGGAGGGCCGAUAAGCUAAUUGACCCCCCCUGACUGUGUGAGAGAGGAGCCCAUUGACAUGCAGCCCGGCGUCUGAGGCGCGCCACACAACAAUGAGGAGAAUGUUAACGAGUGGCUUCUCUCUGACGGCGAGGUAAACAGCGCAG
ensembl:lncRNA